rnacentral:lncRNA from 1 species
UACCCAAAUCACAAGCCAUAUAAAGGUACUCGGUCCUAAUUUCAGGACCCAAUAUAGCACGUCAAGUAGAUGGUAUCAAUUAGGUCUGUGGGACGGGGAGGCAUCUCAACCUUAAGGACAGGGGGCUUGUUACUUGAAGUUAAAAUAGGGUUGCUUGGUUCCCCUAUAGCCCUGUCUGAAUCGAAGAAAUGGGUGAUCCACACUUUAGGGCCUCCUUAAAGAGAAGCCAACUUCCAAAACUCCUUGAAUGGCCUUCUCAAGGCUGUCGGCUUUCAAAGGCCGGGAUAAACUUUAUCCUCAAGUAUGAUGUCAUUAUCUGGGAUAAACUCCUCAUAACGAUCUCCAAGAAGGGAAAGAUCGUCAAUGAAAUGAAGAUCCAAGAGAGACAUGACGGCCUCCCCAUGGUCAAAGAAGUUGGUGUUUUUCGCUCAACACUAGGUCUCCAAGUAUGCCCUCACCACGUUAGUGUAACGAUCAUAUGGCUAGGUCAAACAUUCGCAGGCGCCUAAGAGUUCUGUGCUUAUGAGAUCAUUUUAGAAGCUGCUCUCUUCCUCACAUCUAAACUUGAGGGAUCCUGUCAGGCAGUACGCUUGGCAAUUUGAUGUGCAAGUAUAGGAAAUAUUCUAUUCCAACGACAAUUUUAUACUCAUAAUGGAGAAGGAGGCUUUAUGGAGGAAGACCCCGAUGAUAAUCCUUGCUAAACUUGGCAAGGCCAAGAGGCUCGAUCAAAUAAUUGAUAGAAAGGGGCCAUCUUAGAUAUUCAUUGACAUUGCCGUCAGCUUGGCAUACGGGUCUAUGACGAGCUAAUUCAACCCCGGUGCACUUUUCCCACCAAUCCUCUACUCCUUUCGGAAUUUCUUGGGACACAUGACAUCUAAAAUAGGAGAAAAGAGUUUCAUUUAAUCGGAACUUAUCUGCAUAUCAUUCAUAUUGGUCUAAGGCUCUGACCAACUACCGAUGCCUGUCAUGGCUUAAGUCGAAAGUCUGACCUUACAUUUCUCAUAUAUUGGGUUAAGAAUCUAACUGAUCAUUGAUGUUUGUCACAGUCACACACACACACACACACACACACACACGCUCACACACACAUACUCGCACUCACACUCACAUUCACACACACUCACACUCACACUCACAGAUAUAUAAGCUAUCACCUCUAAUCUUCUAAGUCUAGACAAAAUUCCAUAUUACUAUGUAUAGAAUUAGGCACAAGAUUGUGUUUCGUCUCUUGAUGAGUUUGGGUAUGCUAAAUACCCAACUAUGAUAGUCCAUGUAAUUUUUUUUCUUAUUUGUACUUGUUUUUAUUAAUAUUGAUGAGCUUCAUUUUCAUCGAGUUUUCUUGUACAUCAACAAGCAUGAAAGCAACUUAUCAUCGAGCCGGAUCUCUUUUCGUUAUUUGAUAUUUGAGAUCUUGAUCUUGCAAGCUUGAUUUGCUUAACGGUUCUUUCUUCUCUAGUUUAUUUCUGCUCUUGCUUCUUUCAUGCAAAUAUGGAGUGAAUUUGCUGGCGCUUUACUUGUGGUUUGCAAUUUUAUUAAGUAACGUUUUCUUAACACACACACUCUCGCUUCUUUCAUGCAAAUAUAGAGUGAAUUUUCUGAAGCUUUACUUGUGGUUUGCUGUUUUAUUAAUUAAAAUUUUCUUAACACACACGCUCUUGCUUCUUUCAUGCAAAUAUGGAGUGAAUUUUCUGGAGCUUUACUUGUGGUUUGCGAUUUUAUUAACUUUUUUUUAACACACACACUCUUGCUUCUUUCAUGCAAAUAUGGAGUGAAUUUUCUGAAGCUUUACUUGUGGUUUGCAAUUUUAUUAUGCAACUUUUUCUUAACACACACAUACACGCAUGCACACCAAACACACACACUCACGCUAAUGCAUAAGGAUGGGUUUAUAUAUACACUAAUGUAUAAGACCAUGUAUAUACUUAUUUUCAAUGAUAUAUACAAUUAUUAGCUCAAUUUGUGUACGUAUUUAUGUAUAGCAAUAUAUACCACCGUUUUUCGAGUGUAUAUAUAUAUACUGAUGCAUAUAACCAUACAAUACAUUAGUUAUCCGCUAUAUAUACAAUUAGUGUGUAAAAAUACAUUUAUAUGUGUGUGUGUGUGAUGAUUAUACGAUGUGUAUAUUCGGAUUUGUGUAUAUGUAAAGUACAUAAUUGUAUAUAU